AUACGGAAGGUCCGGGCGUUAUCCGGAUUUAUUGGGUUUAAAGGGAGCGCAGGCGGAGAUGCAAGCGUGACGUCAAAUUUCGGGGCUCAACCCCGUCUCGCGUCGCGAACUGCGUCCCUUGGUUGCGGGAAGGGGAGGCGGAACUCGUGGUGUAGCCGUGAAAUGCAUAGAUAUCACGAAGAACUCCGAUCGCGAAGGCAGCCUUCCGGCCCGUCAACGACGCUCAUGCUCGAAGGUGCGGGUAUCAAACAGGAUUAGAUACCCUGGUAGUCCGCACAGUAAACGAUGGACACCCGCGGUUUGGCCUGUAUGGCUGAGCCGCCAAGCGAAAGCGUUAAGUGUCCCACCUGGGGAGUACGCCGGCAACGGUGAAACUUAAAGGAAUUGACGGGG
rnacentral:rRNA from 1 species